GGAGUUGCAGUGGAAGGGAAAUGAAAGGGAAAAAACUUUUUUUUUCAGCUCGGUUUAUCAAUGUGGAUUGUAUUUCCCAUCCUGAGGGUCAGUUUUGGAAAGAGUUCUCAGAUCCUCUGGUUGUUGUUUCAAAGGAAGCCCCGCCCUCAAAUGACUUGGAUGUCAUUUACGGCGAGCUUUUAAAGUGAUUGUUCCUGGCUGUCUCUGGGCUGGAGAGGACUUUGCAGGUCAUGGAGUAGAGGGGUGGCUUUCCAAGGGGGAGAGAGACCAUCACAAGUAGGGUUGGAGAACUGGGACGAGAGGUCGCACUUGCCAGUGGGCUGGAAACAGAGUCUUGGCGUGUGUUUGGGGUCCCCUGUGGCUCCAGGCGUCACCCAUUAGUAGCUGCAAGCGGCUCCCGGGCGACCUCCGUCCAGCGAGACACCGCAAUGUGCAGAGGGCACACGGAGCACGAGGGCAGAUGAAGCCGUGGGCGGAGAUGCGCCAUCGCCUCAGAGCAGCCACCCGGGUGCGCGCCUCAGUGUCACGGCGCUUUGUGGACGGACCCUUGGCAGGAGAGGCGCUGGGGUCCUGAGGGGUCUAGGCUGUCCUCCUGCUUGGAGCGUCUUGUCCGUACCUAGGGUCGUCCUCUCAGACGCAGAUCGUGUCUGUUCAGCAUCACCGUGCUCACCCCUCUGUCUCCACAGCAGGGGCUCCGUGGGGAGGGACUCUGUUUACACCUGGAGCCCCACACACCAAGGACCGCGCCUGGCACGUUGUAGCUGCUCAGUCAACGUUUGCUGAGGGAUUGAAUGACCGUCACGGGCUUGUAGGUUUGUGGCCUGUUCCCCCCCCCCCCCCCCACAGAGGAGGAAGUUGGAUGCACAGUGCAGUUAGAGGUGUGAAUGGAGCCAGGCACCAGGUGAGGAGACAAACAGAGAUUAGCGGCCCAGUGUGUGUGUGUGGGGGGGUAGUCUUGGCACCAGAACAAAGACCCGAAUGACACAGCCCUCAGGAAUUCAAAUAAUUCUUUCCAUCAUUCACUGGACCCCCUCCAAAAACCCCAAAAGAACGCUUUCAAAUGUUGAGGCAGAACAAAAGUAGGGUGAUUGUUUAUGAUCUUUGGUCUUCUUUUUUCAGACCCUGCAGCUGAGUGAGCAAAAACAACAGGCUCAGUCCUAGAGGGCGGUGCAGGCUCCCCAGGUCGUGUUCACCCAGGCUCACCGGAU
rnacentral:lncRNA from 1 species